AUGUGCUGUCCUGGUUGCUAGGUGCAGAUUUAGGUUCCAAGCAGAACACUCCUAGUGUUCUCUGCAGUUUGUUGCAGAAUCAGAAUGUCUUGGCAACCAAAGGCAGAUCUGGUGCUAUGGAGGACCUGCUUACUGCUAUGAGGUGUUACUUUAUACAGGUCCUGGAGAAGCUGAUUGAGGCCAAGUCACUGUUGCAAGGAGACACGAGACUCACAUCAGAGUUCUAUGGCUUAACAUGGGAGAUGGUGGUGUCUGAUAGAGUAAAUGUGGCCUGGGGCUGAGGAACAGGAUGGCUUAUUUUCAGAACCCUGCUGCAAGGAAUUACUGAAAUGUCAAGAAGAAUAAACGUAUUGUAGUAGCAAUGGUAGGAGAAAAAGGAGGAGAAAACCUGGAGUCGUAAGAAUCAUCUAGAUAGCAUUGUCCAGCUCCAACUAGUUGGUUGGAUAAUCAUAUCAUCUCCAUGGGAAGCAAGACGACUUUGGAUUUAAACAAAUCUAUCUGAGCGAUUUGAAUUUGAACAAGAAAAUUAAAUAGUUUUAUUGUUCAUUUCCUCAAGUAUAAAUUGACGGAGUUAACCUACAAUGGCAAGGUUCUCCUAUGAUGACGAAUUUGGUUUUGCAUUUUUGGGGUUUUAUUCAUUACUAUUUAGUUCAACCAUUGGACAUUUGAUAUUUUAUGUUACAUUUUAGCUUACAUACUCAUCUUGAAGAAGUAUUUUUUGUUCAGUGAGAUUAUCCUCUGUUUUAUUAUAAGAGUUUGGACAGUUGUCAUUACCCACUGAUUGUACAUAACGACAAAUAUGUAUUUUAGUUCUAAGUAACUGUUGUCAGGAGAAAAGUGGAUGUCCCAAUUUAGGCUCAGAGACAGUCAAAUCUGAAAUUAUUUUACAUUUUCAAGACUUUUUUUUUCAGCUAGAAAGCAGAUUGAUAUACUAACAUCAACUAGUUUAAUGAAGCAGUAUUUUGAGAAAGGUUAAUUUUUUGCUCAUAUGCUUUUCUUUUCGUGGUGAUGUGUGUUUUAUGAAAAUCACAAUCUCCUGCAGGAUGAGAAAUAUUCAGAUGGAAAGUUAAGAUAGCGUCUCAGUGACAACAUUCUGAGUCACUCUGCUAGUCAGUUGUUUAAUGGUGAUAGAUUACAUUUAUACGUUUAUAAAGCACAGCUCCCACAUUCACUGUUUCAUUACAUCUUCAAAGUCAUCCUCUGAGGUGUCACACAGAGCUACUCAGGGCUAACAUGUGAAUGUUGCCCUUUGAUUAUAUGCUACCUUAAGCCAGAAGUGUGUAAUAACAAUAAUAAUACUCUUUGCAACUAGUCCUUAAUGAGCCGUCCAUGUCAAACACUCCCAUAUACUUUUGAUACCAUUAAAUAGUUAAGUAUCCACGCCCAAAUGCUAUGACAAAGAAAAUUUUAGUAUCCAUAUUUUAAGAUAUUGUUAAUCGUUUAUUUUCAUACUCUGGUAAUGACUAAGAACAUUCUAAAGAUUGAAAAGUAAUCGUUGCUUUAAAUGAGGUGAUAAAUUCAGAGUUUCAAGAUUCCCGAGAAAGCAUCUGCACCCUAGGGUUGUUUCCUGAAUGCGUGUAACCCCCUUCACAUUAUUCGACCUUGAUUUAAUGAAGAUGUUAUAUGAGUGCAUCAAAUUUAGAAAUAAAUCUUGGCCUGAGU
rnacentral:lncRNA from 1 species